AAUUCUCAACCUUCUCGGUUUCUUUGACCGGGCAAGGCUUGGACUUUGGAGGCUUCUGCUGGCACACCUCUCUCCUGGAAGCCAGCUCCUCUCAAAUGGAUUAGUGGGGUCCUCUUUGCCAAACCUCCUUGGCGUGAUAAGAUCUUUCUACGUCGAAGGGCGAAGGCGAAGGUGAAUCUAGCCCCUGCUCCUAACUGUCUCAUUGAGACAAUGUUCGCA
rnacentral:misc_RNA from 1 species